GAUGAAGAACGUAGCGAAAUGCGAUACUUGGUGUGAAUUGCAGAAUCCCGCGAAUCAUCGAGUUUUUGAACGCAAGUUGCGCCCGAAGCCAUUCGGCCGAGGGCACGUCUGCCUGGGUGUCACGCAUCGUUGCCCCCCCAAACUCCGGUUCGGGCGGGGCGGAAGUUGGCCUCCCGUGUGUGCCUGCGCGCGCGGUUAGCCCAAAAGCGAGUCCUCGGCGACGAGCGCCACGACAAUCGGUGGUUUUUUUACCCUCGUUCCUCGUCGUGCGUGUCCCGUCGCCCGAACGCGCUCUUGUGACCCUAACGCGUCGCCUCGGCGGCGCUCCCAACGCGACCCCAGGUCAGGCGGGACUACCCGCUGAGUUUAAGCAUAUCAAUAAGCGGAGGA
rnacentral:misc_RNA from 1 species